GGAGGAAAGCAGGGGAUCGUAAGACCUUGCGCUUUUGGAGCGGCCGAUGUCUGAUUAGCUAGUUGGUGGGGUAAUGGCCUACCAAAGCUUCGAUCAGUAGCUGGUCUGAGAGGACGACCAGCCACACUGGGACUGAGACACGGCCCAGACUCCUACGGGAGGCAGCAGUGGGGAAUUUUGGACAAUGGGCGCAAGCCUGAUCCAGCCAUGCCGCGUGAGUGAAGAAGGCCUUCGGGUUGUAAAGCUCUUUCAGCCGGGAAGAAAAGGCUACGACGAAUAAUCGUAGCUCAUGACGAUACCGGAAGAAGAAGCACCGGCUAACUACGUGCCAGCAGCCGCGGUAAUACGUAGGGUGCGAGCGUUAAUCGGAAUUACUGGGCGUAAAGGGUGCGCAGGCGGUUUUGUAAGUCAGAUGUGAAAUCCCCGGGCUUAACCUGGGAAUUGCGUUUGAAACUACAAAGCUAGA
rnacentral:rRNA from 1 species